GUUUGAUAGAGUGUAUUGAAAUGUUAAUGCACGCAUUAACUUAAUGUGUAUUAGUAGUACCUUGUUUGGUAUAUCUUUUUACCCUAUGUAUAACUAAUGUAAACAUUAGUUAUACACUUCAUUGUGUAUUGAGGUGUGUAUUACUAAUACCUCAAAAUCCAUGACAUUAGUAAUGUAAUGGAUCUACUGCAUGCUUAACAUGCUUAAAGACCUUAU
rnacentral:lncRNA from 1 species